rnacentral:misc_RNA from 1 species
CCAAAUGUCCGGCCACUCGUGGCCAGGCGAGACCUCGUCCGAAGGCGUAAAAAACCCGAGGAUAAGAUCUCUACACCCUUUGUGAAAAACCCUAGUUGCUUCGGCAGCUCGCCUGUUCCCCCCUUAACCGGGGUUUACGGGCGGUCAGCCUGCCGACAGCCCCCAAGGAAACCCUUAUAAGUUAGCUUUUAAAAUUGUCUGACCAAAAUGUCGAAUGACUAUA